GUAGGGAAUCUUCCACAAUGGACGAAAGUCUGAUGGAGCAACGCCGCGUGAGUGAAGAAGGUUUUCGGAUCGUAAAACUCUGUUAUCGGAGAAGAACGUAUCUGGUAGUAACUGGCCAGGUAGUGACGGUAUCCGAUCAGAAAGCCACGGCUAACUACGUGCCAGCAGCCGCGGUAAUACGUAGGUGGCAAGCGUUGUCCGGAUUUAUUGGGCGUAAAGCGAGUGCAGGCGGUUUUUUAAGUCUGAUGUGAAAGCCUUCGGCUUAACCGAAGAAAUGCAUUGGAAACUGGGGAACUUGAGUGCAGAAGAGGAGAGUGGAACUCCAUGUGUAGCGGUGAAAUGCGUAGAUAUAUGGAAGAACACCAGUGGCGAAGGCGGCUCUCUGGUCUGUAACUGACGCUGAGGCUCGAAAGCGUGGGUAGCAAACAGGAUUAGAUACCCGAGUAGUCC
rnacentral:rRNA from 1 species